GCAAAAAAAAAGCUUUUUUAACUUUGCCUUUAUUUUCUAUUUUAAUACUAAAAUGCCUUUUUAACUUUCUAUUUUACCCAUUUCUUUGCAUACGUUUUCUUUUACUUAUCUUUUAUUUUAUUGUAAGACAAUGUUUGUGAAGCACUUUGAGUCUGCCUUGUAUGAAAAGUGCUAUUUAAAUAAAGUUGCCUUGCCUUGACUUGCCUAGAACUGUACAAGGUUAAAAAGGUAACAUGUAGUUUGUCCCAAGGUGUCUGCCUCCUCACCCAGAGCAAGACCUCCACCUCCUCACCCAGAGCCAGACCUCCACCUCCUGUCAGAAGUCCUCCAGAACAGCUGAAAGGCGAGGCUGAGAGGCUGGGGACCGGAGGCUUGUGGUGCCAGGGUGGACCGGAGACUGAGGCUGGAGACCAGGGGCCUGCAGCACCGGACCAGAGGGUAACCAUCACCAAGCUCAUCUGAAACACUAAAAUCCACGACCAGGAAUCCAUGGCUGAAGGAGCUGAUGGAGGCGCUGUGCUGACGGAGGAGCCGUGCCGAAGGAGCUGAUGGAGGAGCCGUGCUGAAGGCCCUGGGCUGGUGGAGGAGCUGGUGGAGGGCCUGCCUGGGGAAUGACGUCUGUCGUGGGACCAGGACUCUGUCUGAGGAGAGCUGCUGGAGGAGCUGAGACGCUGGAGGACAACUAGGAAUCGACCAACAAGGAUUCCUCAACGUGUUUCUGGAGCGGAGGCGAGCUGACAGGGGAGCCGUGAAUCUGGAGGAUGACCAUCACUCUACCAACAAGGAUUACUUUAGGGCCAGACUCGCGCUGUUUGUUCCAGACCAGGACUCUGGCUGAGGAGAGCUGAUGGAGGAGCCAAGACUCUGGAGGACGACAUCACUCCACCAACCAGGAUCCUCGAAUCUUGAGGACUGAUGGAGAAGCCGUACAUCUGGAAGGUAAAUCCUGAGGACCACCAGGACUCUACCAUCAAGGAUUCCUCAUAAAUGUGCAUGAUUUGGACAUAGUGGACUAGACACACCUGAGCUGAACCUCACCUGAUCCUGUUUGGUCCGGGGUAGACACACCUGAGCUAAACCCGCCCUGAUCCUGACAUCCUGCUGGUCCCGUCUCCUCAGUUCAUCUGAGCUUCGUCCUCCAGAAGACCUGCUGAGCUCAGCAGUCUGAGGCUGAUGGAUCAAUGACCUCCAGUGGGAGUGAUCUUCUUAACCCCACAUGUAACCGUGUGCUUCCACACGCCUUUCCCUCACGUCUGUCACUAACCUCACUACUCUCUACUGCUUCCUCUUUUCUUCCUUCUCUGUGGUUCAAACCUUUACACUGAAGGCGCGUCUUCCUGCCCUCAGAGGGUUUAGCGUUAGGGUUGAGAGUCAGGGUUUAGAGUCAGGGACAGAGCUGGUCAGGGAGGACUGCUUUUACACAAACCUCUUCACUUGCUUUCGGAAUGGUGGUGACAUUUUGAAAAGAUUCAUUUGGGAAAAUGUUUUCCUCUGCUUUCCUUUACAAAUUGUAUUACACUUCUGUCAAGUGUUUUUGUUUAUAUAUUAAAAUCCCACAUCGACUUCUA